AGUCAACAUAUUUUCAUUGGUCAUUUGGUCUUUAUACAGCUGUUAGAAUUAUAGUGGUCCAUGGUAUUGCUGAGGUGUUUGGGAAAAGUAUUACCACUGAUGUGAACAGUGUGGCUAACUUUCAUCUUUACAGUGAAUGAGAAAAUGAAACAUUAUGUCUAAUAACGACGAACGUCUGGUGUUAUCUUGUCUGUUGCCACGUCUUAAGGUAAGAUCAGGGUACGAUAAUUCAAGAUUUUUAGUCCGCGUACCUGACUGGUACUCCAA